GACGAACGCUGGCGGCGUGCUUAACACAUGCAAGUCGAACGGUGAAGCACCUUCCUUUUGGUGGGUGUGGAUGAGUGGCGAACGGGUGGGUAACACGUGAGUAACCUGCCCCCUUCUUCUGGAUAACCGCAUGAAAGUGUGGCUAAUACGGGAUAUUCUGGGUCUGUCGCAUGGCGGGCCUGGGAAAGAUAUUGUUUCGGUGGGGGAUGGGCUCGCGGUCUAUCAGCUUGUUGGUGGGGUGAUGGCCUACCAAGGCGGUGACGGGUAGCCGGCCUGAGAGGGUGGACGGUCACACUGGGACUGAGACACGGCCCAGACUCCUACGGGAGGCAGCAGUGGGGAAUAUUGCACAAUGGGCGCAAGCCUGAUGCAGCGACGCCGCGUGAGGGAUGGAGGCCUUCGGGUUGUAAACCUCUUUCGCCAGUGAAGCAGGCCUGUCCCUUGUGUGGGUGGGUUGACGGUAGCUGGAUAAGAAGCGCCGGCUAACUACGUG
rnacentral:rRNA from 1 species